GCCUACGGGGGGCAGCAGUAGGGAAUUUUCGUCAAUGGGCGCAAGCCUGACCCAGCAACGCCGCGUGAAGGAAGAAGGCUUUCGGGUUGUAAACUUCUUUUCUCAGGGACGAAGCAAGUGACGGUACCUGAGGAAUAAGCCACGGCUAACUACGUGCCAGCAGCCGCGGUAAUACGUAGGUGGCAAGCGUUAUCCGGAUUUACUGGGUGUAAAGGGCGUGUAGGCGGGACUGCAAGUCAGAUGUGAAAACCACGGGCUCAACCUGUGGCCUGCAUUUGAAACUGUAGUUCUUGAGUACUGGAGAG
rnacentral:rRNA from 1 species